CCUACGGGUGGCAGCAGUCGAGAAUCAUUCACAAUGGGGGAAACCCUGAUGGUGCGACGCCGCGUGGGGGAAUGAAGUUCUUCGGAUUGUAAACCCCUGUCAUGUGGGAGCAAAUUAAAAAGAUAGUACCCCAAGAGGAAGAGACGGCUAACUCUGUGCCAGCAGCCGCGGUAAUACAGAGGUCUCAAGCGUUGUUCGGAAUCACUGGGCGUAAAGCGUGCGUAGGCUGUUUCGUAAGUCGUGUGUGAAAGGCGCGGGCUCAACCCGCGGACGGCACAUGAUACUGCGAGACUAGAGUAAUGGAGGGGGAACCGGAAUUCUCGGUGUAGCAGUGAAAUGCGUAGAUAUCGAGAGGAACACUCGUGGCGAAGGCGGGUUCCUGGACAUUAACUGACGCUGAGGCACGAAGGCCAGGGGAGCGAAAGGGAUUAGAUACCCGUGUAGUC
rnacentral:rRNA from 1 species